UACGUAGGGUGCAAGCGUUGUCCGGAAUUAUUGGGCGUAAGGAGCUCGUAGGCGGUCUGUCGCGUCGGAUGUGAAAAUCCAGGGCUCAACCCUGGACCUGCAUUCGAUACGGGCAGACUAGAGUUCGGCAGGGGAGACUGGAAUUCCUGGUGUAGCGGUGAAAUGCGCAGAUAUCAGGAGGAACACCGGUGGCGAAGGCGGGUCUCUGGGCCGAUACUGACGCUGAGGAGCGAAAGCGUGGGGAGCGAACAGG
rnacentral:rRNA from 1 species